rnacentral:rRNA from 1 species
GGCUUGGCCGGAUGGUCCCUUUCGGCGAGUACUGUCCUGUGUCAAUCCUUCCUUCUGGUGAACCAGCAUGUCCUUCAUUGGAUGUGCUGGGGAGCCAGAACUAUUACCUUGAAAAAAUUAGAGUGUUUAAAGCAGGCGAUUGCUUGAAUAGAUUAGCAUGGAAUAAUAAAAUAGGACGUUGGUUCUAUUUUGUUGGUUUCUAGGAUCAACGUA